UACGAAGGGUGCAAACGUUGCUCGGAAUUAUUGGGCGUAAAGAGCUCGUAGGCGGUGUGUCACGUCGGCCGUGAAAACCUGCAGCUUAACUGUGGGCGUGCGGUCGAUACGGGCAUCACUGGAGUUCGGCAGGGGAGACUGGAAUUCCUGGUGUAGCGGUGAAAUGCGCAGAUAUCAGGAGGAACACCGGUGGCGAAGGCGGGUCUCUGGACCGAUACUGACGCUGAGGAGCGAAAGCGUGGGGAGCAAACAGG
rnacentral:rRNA from 1 species